GAUGAACGCUGGCGGCGUGCCUAAUACAUGCAAGUCGAGCGAACGGACGAGAAGCUUGCUUCUCUGAUGUUAGCGGCGGACGGGUGAGUAACACGUGGAUAACCUACCUAUAAGACUGGGAUAACUUCGGGAAACCGGAGCUAAUACCGGAUAAUAUUUUGAACCGCAUGGUUCAAAAGUGAAAGACGGUCUUGCUGUCACUUAUAGAUGGAUCCGCGCUGCAUUAGCUAGUUGGUAAGGUAACGGCUUACCAAGGCAACGAUGCAUAGCCGACCUGAGAGGGUGAGCGGAAAAAAAGGAAAUGAGACAAGGUGCAGAAGACUAUGGGAGGCAGCAGUAGGGAAACUUCCGAAAUGGGCGAAAGCGUGACGGAGAAACGAAGAGUGAGUGAUGAAGGUCUUCGAAUCGUAAAAAUCUGUUAUAAGGGAAGAACAAAUGCGUAAGUAACUAUGCACGUCUGGACGGUAGAUAAGCAGAAAAACAGGGAUAAGAAAGUG
rnacentral:rRNA from 1 species